rnacentral:rRNA from 1 species
UGUUCUUCGUGACAUGGCGGACUGCUCAGUAACACGUGGACAACCUACCCUUGGGUUCGGCAUAAUCCUGGGAAACUGGGGAUAAUUCCGGAUAGGUCACAGAUGCUGGAAUGCACUGUGGCUCAAAGCUCCGGCGCCCAAGGAUGGGUCUGCGGCCUAUCAGGGUUGUAGUGGGUGUAAUGUACCUACUAGCCUACGACGGGUACGGGUUGUGAGAGCAAGAGCCCGGAGAUGGAUUCUGAGACACGAAUCCAGGCCCUACGGGGUGCAGCAGGCGCGAAAACUUUACAAUGCGGGAAACCGUGAUAAGGGAAUCUCGAGUGCCAGCAUAUAAUGUUGGCUGUCCAGAUGCCUAAAAAGCAUCUGUUAGCAAGGGCCGGGCAAGACCGGUGCCAGCCGCCGCGGUAACACCGGCGGCCCGAGUGGUAACCGCUAUUAUUGGGUCUAAAGGGUCCGUAGCAGGCCAGGUAAGUCCCUUGGGGAAUCUGGCAGCUCAACUGUCAGGCUGCUAGGGGAUACUGUUUGGCUUGGGACCGGGAGAGGUGAGAGGUACCUUGGGGGUAGGGGGUGAAAUCUUGUGAUCCUCGGGGGACCACCAGUGGCGAAGGCGUCUCACCAGAACGGGUCCGACGGUAAGGGACGAAAGCUAGGGGCACGAACCGGAUUAGAUACCCGGGUAGUCCUAGCCGUAAACGAUGCUCGCUAGGUGUCAGUCACGGUGCGACCGUGAUUGGUGCCGUAGGGAAGCCGUGAAGCGAGCCACCUGGGAAGUAUGGCCGCAAGGCUGAAACUUAA